UAGAUUGGAGUAGAUGAGUGACUUUGGUUUCUCCUCAUCCCAGAUAAACAACACAACAUGAGCUCAUUCACUGCUGACAAACAGUGCUCUGUCAAGACUGCAUACAAUCUGGAAGGUAUCAAGAGUAUCAGAGUUUAAUUCACUCAAAGUUAAAGAUUUAAUAAUUUAAUUCAAUGAUUCAUGCACAAACUGUGUUGCUGUGACAAACACAUCUGGAUAAUUUCCUCUCAGUUGUGAUUUACAGAAAGUGCCAAACAUGAUGAUCAAGAGAUUCAGAAGGUAUGAGAACAUGCUGGUGAGUUCAUCCAAAUUGCUCUCCAAAUAUAGAAAACUGAGGGAAAGUUCAGUGAUCAGUUGCCAUUUAGAUAUCAUCUGUCCUUAACAGGCUAUUUCUAAAUGAGGCCGGUAGAUUUUAGAUCAGGUUUGUGCCUACCUACGAUUUCUGAAUCUUUGCUUUAGAGUGGUAUUGUGUAAUGCUUUAUUUUUCAUUUUUUACUGAAUGUAAAUUUCAUGUCCUUGUACUCAGUAACCAUGAGGCUAUGAGACAGGUGGUUGGCAAACUGAACCCACCUUACAUUCUCUAUCUCCCUCUCAUUUUAAAAGGUAAUACUGACACAGCUGAUGGUAAACUAAUGCAUUUUAUUACUGCCACGUUCCAUUUAUCACAUUGACUAAAGCCCUUACACAAACACAUUUGUCUCCUGUUAACAGACCUGACUUUACACUCAUCCACGAAGGCAAUAAGAGUUACCGAAAUGGCCUGGUAUACUUUGAAAAAAUGUGCCAAUUUCCCCCCAGAAUAACCUCAUGAACAAAAUGUUUCUGAAGAGUCCUCUCAGACAGAAACUCACAUUUUCUGACCAGUCACUGUCAGUGGAGAGAGUUAAAACCAUACGGCACUAUGUCAGGAACCUCAAAGUAAUUGAUGACCAACGCAAGCUCAGUCAGUUGUCCCGGAACAUUGAGCCUUGAUGUACCACAGGGGGUUCCCUCAGACAGAAAAGAACCACCACAGUGAUGUCUCAUUAUACCACCCAGAGGAUAAGCACUGAACUCCCUGAUUUUCUUAAUAAAGUUAUAUUUUGCAUCAUCAUAAA